ACGGGUGAGUAAUGUCUGGGAAACUGCCCGAUGGAGGGGGAUAACUACUGGAAACGGUAGCUAAUACCGCAUAACGUCGCGAGACCAAAGUGGGGGACCUUCGGGCCUCACACCAUCGGAUGUGCCCAGAUGGGAUUAGCUAGUAGGUGGGGUAACGGCUCACCUAGGCGACGAUCCCUAGCUGGUCUGAGAGGAUGACCAGCCACACUGGAACUGAGACACGGUCCAGACUCCUACGGGAGGCAGCAGUGGGGAAUAUUGCACAAUGGGCGCAAGCCUGAUGCAGCCAUGCCGCGUGUAUGAAGAAGGCCUUCGGGUUGUAAAGUACUUUCAGCGGGGAGGAAGGCGAUGUGGUUAAUAACCGCGUCGAUUGACGUUACCCGCAGAAGAAGCACCGGCUAACUCCGUGCCAGCAGCCGCGGUAAUACGGAGGGUGCAAGCGUUAAUCGGAAUUACUGGGCGUAAAGCGCACGCAGGCGGUCUGUCAAGUCGGAUGUGAAAUCCCCGGGCUUAACCUGGGAACUGCAUUCGAAACUGGCAGGCUAGAGUCUUGUAGAGGGGGGUAGAAUUCCAGGUG
rnacentral:rRNA from 1 species